GUUACUGGGUAGGAUUAGUAACCAGAUUAAAUCGGGUACAUUUUUUUUAUCCAGCCGUGCAAAUACUGCCCCCUAGCCCUAACAGGUUAAUAUUAGAUUUCGUGCACCAGCUGUUGUUUACAGCCCGCCACCCCUUGUCUUACCGGAGGCAGCUGUUCUAUCUUGCCGAUGCAGCGUGAACCCCGCCAGCUGUAUUUUAUCAAUGUCAUCGUUCAGCUACGACUCAGUGAAACAUAAGCUAUUACAGUUUUAAUGUCCCUUUGGAAGGAUAUUCAUGAUCGUAGCUUGUCUAUUUUGUUAUCCAAUGAUUGGCUAAUAGGACUGGUGGUAGAGGCAGAUUACCCACUUGCAGUCGGAUCCUUACAAGACACCCCGACCUACGUCCCCGAUAUUGCCGUCUCUUUCUCCUGCGAAUGAUAGGGAUGUGGGCCUUGUCGGUUGUCUGAAGUAAAUCCUUUGUGUCCGACUCGCUAAAGAAAAAAUCUUGUCCAGUAUGAGGUGAGUAAUCGCUGUCCUGAUAUCCAGAAGCUCGUUUAGGUCAUAAGACACGGUGGUAGAAACAUUAUGUUCAAAAUAAGUUUGAAAUAACGCAAAAAAACACAAACUGUUACAUCUGCUCCUGCCACGCCCUUUACUUCUCAUCCUGGACCUCCCUAACCUGCCACCACUCCCCCAGUGCUCUCUCUCUCUCUCUCUCUCUGUAUGUGAUUGUGUGAGUGGAGACAGGUGUGCUGGAAGCAGAGCAGAUUCCCACCAGCUCCAGCCUGUUCCAUAAUCAAGAACCCUACAAAUACUCAGCCCUGCCACUUCCACGCUGCCAGAUCGUAGCCUCUACUCAUCCCAUCUGCUCUGACUCUGGUACCUGUCUCCAGUCCCUCGUCUCCUCAGUCCUGCUUCCCUGACCUGGAUACCAGCUCUACUGCUUCAUUGGAUUCCGCUCCAGACCUGCUUAUCCGGUUCCCAAUCCCCUUGCCCCCAGCCUCAGCCUCAUUCAGGAUUCCCUACUACCCACAGGAGAUUCCCCUGGACUGCACCCCAUCUCCUCUCCCGCUUUUAAAUUAAUACAUUGGUUACCUAUCCUUGUCUCCCCGUCUGAGUCUGCAUUUGGGUUCACCUGCUCCAAACAAUAGCACAAUUGUUUAAGAGCCCGUAAAACGGCAGCCAUCUCCUCCAGCGCAUGUCUGUCUUCAUGGAGCAUGUCUGUCUUCAUUGUUCUGUUGCGCAAUUUUGCACCUGGCCUUUCCACAAGGUGUGUAAAUCUUUCAGGAAAAGCCUGACUACAAAAGCUUGUUGGACACUUAUUUCAACAUAGCCUGCUAAUAGCCUAUUGGAGGAGAGAUGAAUGCUUGUUCUUGCUUGCUGAAUGUAAAAUAGGAUACAGCAUGAACGGGCGGGGAGUUGGAAAGGAGAAGCCCAUUAUUUUCCUAUAGUAGGUCUAUUUUAACAGCAAGCUACAUCCUGACAAAAUAGGCAUACACCAUAUGAGUGGCCUGCUUUCUCAGCUGUGGAGAGUAGACUCAAACUGAUCCAAAUAGUUGUAUAAUCAGGCCUAGGCAGUUGGCCUAUGCAGUUAUUUCGGCAUGAAACAAAACAGGAGGUGUGGGCGGUUAUUCAAAUUAGAUUACAUCAGUGCAGUUUACUGCACUUGAUAACAAUAAUACAUUCCUCUUUGCAUUGUGUUGUUGUAGCCCAGGUAUAAUAAUUGUAUUGUCUAAAAAUAUAGGCCUAGGCCUAAUCAAUAGUGGAGCUUUGCAUGCCCGGGGACCACAGAGCGCAGCUUGGAGGAACGCACCUUGAUCUGCCAUUUCAUAAUCUGUUCAUUUAUUUUUCUUGCACUUUGACAGGUAAAUAUUUAGCAUAUAGCCCUAAUAUUUUGCUAAUGAAUGGCCUAAUAUCUAGCUAAUAUUUAGCUUCUUACUUUGGCUAUACAUAGUGUAAUGGCCUUGGUUAUAGCUAAAUAUAAGAUACUUUUAUUCGUAGGUUAUUUUCAAUGUGUUGCCACGUUUAAUAACCUAUAUGCUAAGUAACAAACUACAUGAGACUCUAUGAUAAAUAGCCAUGUUCACAUCCCCCCUUCUUUAAUAAAACAUUCCCCAAAUGUUUAUCAAUGGUAUGUUUACAUUCAAACCCCAUUUACUGUUAUUACAUAAUGAAGCUAUCAAGAUGACAAUUUACAAUCACAAAUUAACCUUUACUGUGAGCACAACCCAUUAAGUAACUUCUGAUCUUCUCAAAACCAUACCUGUAACUAUAAUGUUAAACACCACAGUUUAAUCUUAAACUUAACUGUUCCGUGUUUGGCUAACCAACAAGUAAGCCCAUAAACAUAAUUAACAACCUUCAAUGUCUCUUUUAACCAUCUCCUUUCUUUUUUUCAUAUUUUCUUUUUUAAGGAGAGGUGCUCUUUCUUUUCAAAGUUUUACAGGUCCAGUCUCUCAACUGGCUUUCUCACUCGUCCUGAACGUGUGACAUUAGUCCCUAUUCCUGUUUGUGUAACAGUUACAUUUAUAUUCAAGUUCCUCGGCGUACACAUCACUGACAAACUGAAAUGGUCCACCCACACAGACAGAGUGGUGAAGAAGGCGCAACAGCACUUCUUCAACCUCAGAGGCCGAAGAAAUUUGGCUUGCCACCUAAAGCUCUCGCAAACUUUUACAGAUGCACAAUUGAGAGCAUCCUGUCGGGCUGUUUCACCACCUGGUACGGCAACUGCACCGCCCGCAACCGCAGGGCUCUCCAGAGGGCGGUGCCGGUCUGCCCAACUCAUCACCGGGGGCAAACUAUCUGCCCUCUAGGACACCUACAGCACCCUGUCACAGGAAGGCCAAAAGGAUCGUCAAGGACUACAACCACCCAAGCCCCUGGCCUGUUCACCACGCUAUCAUCCAGAAGCACACUCUGCCAACCCGGAUGUCCUAGCCGUGUCUGAAUCCUGGUUUAGGAAGGCCACCAAAAACCCUGACAUUUCCAUCCCUAACUAUAACAUUUUCCGACAAGAUAGAACUGCCAAAGGGGGCGGAGUUGCAAUCUACUGCAGAGAUAGCCUGCAGAGUUCUGUCUUACUAUCAAGGUCUGUGCCCAAACAAUUUGAGCUUCUACUUUUAAAAAUCCACCUUUCCAGAAACAAGACUCUCACCGCUGCCGCUUGCUAUAGACCACCUUCUGCCCCCAGCUGUGCCCUGGACACCAUUUGUGAAUUGAUUGCCCCCCAUCUAUCUUCAGAGCUUGUGCUGUUAGGUGACCUAAACUGGGACAUGCUUAAUAACC
rnacentral:lncRNA from 1 species